UCAUAUCAACAUCCAUGUGGAAAAGGGAGUUGGAAUCAUUAACUGAGAUGCUGUUGAGGGUUCUGCUCGAUCUGAGUUUUCUUUUCUGGUUUCAGAAUGCAAAGAGAUACCAGAAUUCGAUCUCAUAUCGGAUACGAUCGAUCCCUCAGCAAAACCAUAACCACAGAUUAGCGUAGAUGAUUUAUAUAUGCACAUGCCAUGUUAGCUUAUAUAUUCCCCUGUAUCUCACAUUCUCACCCAAUGUUUUAAAACGCUGAAGGCGUACCCGAGGCGUUUUCGGGAGAGCCUUGCAGCCUUGAGGCAUAAGGCGCAUAAGGCGUAAGCCUUUCGUAUAAAUCACAUAUAUUCAUGUAUAUUGGUCCUCCAGCAGCACGAAUAAAAUUGCAGAGCAUUUUCCAGCACCAGAAGAGUUUGAUCCGAGCAGGUUUGGGAAUGGAAAGGCCGCUCCAGCUUACUCAAAUAUCCCAUUCGGAAGCGGUCCUCGAAUCUGUCCAGGAAAAGAAUAUGCUCGACUUCAACUUAUGUGUUUCCUCCAUCACGUCGUUACAAGAUACAAAUGGGAAGUGACAAAUACAAAGGCCAAAAUUGCAGGCGGUUUGAAUCCUGUUCCAAAAGAAGGGUUUCACAUUCGCAUCCAACCUUACAAUAAGUUGGCCUGAGUAGAAGUACUGAAUGCACUGAGCUGAUCCUAGAUCCAAAUAAACAUGCUGCAUGGAACUAAAGAAACUACCUAUAUAGUUCAUAGUUCAUACCACCACGUCGUAUUUUCUGGAUCUAAUUAAAUGUUAUAUGUGUGGGUUGUAUUCGCAAUAUAUUCACAUCUACAUACUACAGCUAAAGUAUUUUGUGGACCA